GGACGAACGCUGGCGGCGUGCUUAACACCUGCACGUCGAACGGAAAGGCCCUGCUUUUGUGGGGUGCUCGAGUGGCGAACGGGUGAGUAACACGUGAGUAACCUGCCCUUGACUUUGGGAUAACUUCAGGAAACUGGGGCUAAUACCGGAUAGGAGCUCCUGCUGCAUGGUGGGGGUUGGAAAGUUUCGGCGGUUGGGGAUGGACUCGCGGCUUAUCAGCUUGUUGGUGGGGUAGUGGCUUACCAAGGCUUUGACGGGUAGCCGGCCUGAGAGGGUGACCGGCCACAUUGGGACUGAGAUACGGCCCAGACUCCUACGGGAGGCAGCAGUGGGGAAUAUUGCACAAUGGGCGGAAGCCUGAUGCAGCAACGCCGCGUGCGGGAUGACGGCCUUCGGGUUGUAAACCGCUUUCGCCUGUGACGAAGCGUGAGUGACGGUAAUGGGUAAAGAAGCACCGGCUAACUACGUG
rnacentral:rRNA from 1 species